CACCUGGGAGAAUCUGUGUGGACUAUUUUAGGACAAUUCUUUCUGCUACUUGGGCGCCUGUCUUUUCAUCAGGUUGAAGCCACUGCCAACAAUGUUCUCUUAGAUGCUGGGCCACCACCCAAGGUUGUGUUCUGGGUGUGAACAUUUCCUAUUCAAAUCACUGGCAGUACAUCUCAGAGGAAAUAUCAAAGGUGUCUAGGAUGGCCACCUUAAAUCAAGGGUAGUCUUGUGCAGCCGUCGCAUCGGGACCCCAGUAUACUCCCUGGACCGUACCUGUAAACUAGGAUGCUAGCAGAGUGGCCUAGCUCUCUGCAGGCCAGCGAGCCACCGUGGCAGGCCAGCAAGCCACUGUGGCAACCCUUUCAAAGGUUCCCAGUGAAGCAGAAUGGUAAAAGCUCGCUUGAUCCUGAUUUUCAGUAUGAAUACAGACCUUGAAAGCCAGGCCUCAUGAACUUUCUGACUUUUGGGGUUUUAAGUAGAAGGUGUCAGAAAAGUUACCACAGGGAUGAUUGGCUUGUAGCAGCCAAAAGUUCAUAGCAAUGUCACUUUUUGAUUCUUCAAAGUUGGCUCUUCCUAUUAUUGAGAAGCAGCCUUCGCCAAGCAUUGGAUAGUUCACCCACUAAUAGGGAAUGUGCACUGGGUUUAGACCAUCAUGAGACAGGUUAGUUUUACCCUACUG
rnacentral:ncRNA from 1 species